rnacentral:rRNA from 1 species
UAUUGGUCAAUGGGCGGAAGCCUGAACCAGCCAUGCCGCGUGCAGGAAGACGGCCCUACGGGUUGUAAACUGCUUUUAUACCAGAAUAACCACUUGAUCGAGAUCAGGUCUGAAAGUAUGGUAAGAAUAAGGAUCGGCUAACUCCGUGCCAGCAGCCGCGGUAAUACGGAGGAUCCAAGCGUUAUCCGGAUUUAUUGGGUUUAAAGGGUGCGUAGGCGGUUUGAUAAGUCAGAGGUGAAAUUUUUCGGCUCAACCGGAAACUUGCCUUUGAUACUGUUGAGCUAGAUUACACCUGAAGUAGGCGGAAUGUGACAAGUAGCGGUGAAAUGCAUAGAUAUGUCACAGAACACCAAUUGCGAAGGCAGCUUACUAAAGUGACAAUGACGCUGAGGCACGAAAGCGUGGGGAUCAAAC